CUUAUCUCCAUGCCCCUCCAAAAUGAACCCUCCUUCAUAACAAAGAAAAACAGUUAAGGAAAAACACCUGCUCCAGUGACCACAGCUGAUGGUACCACACGCUACAGCUGGCCUGGCAGUCCCCCACCUCUCGAGAGGAGGAAGGUCUUCAACCCCAGGCCAACCUCCUGCUGUGAUCUUGCCCAUCCUGCUGACUUGGCAUUUUGCUCCCCAUGUUCCUUUCUUGAGAUGGAUGGAUGUCAGAUGUAUCACUUUUGGUUGUGGACUUCUAUACUUCUCCUGAUGUUCUGUGCAUCCCAUGAAUGGUAGAGCACACAUCACUGGGUUAACCAAGAAAGGCUUCUUAAAGGAAGAAGUACUUGAAUUGAGACUUGAAAGAAGCUUGAGAUUCCAGCCAGGUGGGGAGGAGGAGGAAGAACUUUCCUGACAUAGAGGACAGUCUACG